UCUCUCUAACUUCUCUCUAGCCUCCCUAAACCCCUCCCAAGUCUAGGGAACCUCCCUAUCACGAGAAGAAAGCCCCGGAGCGCCCGACGGCUCCGAGAAGAAAAGCUUUCGGCUCGGAAACGCUGCUCCAGCGAAGUCCGGUUUUUAAUAAAAACCCAUUGUUUGGUCAAGGAAAAAUUGUUUUAAGAAGUAACGAAGAGCUGUCCGAGUGCCGAGUCACCACCUUACCAGGUAGUGGCGCAUGAGCAUAGGUGUGAUGUUUUGGACGAGGGAUUACGGAUAUAGGCCUGUAGAUAUGAAAUAAUGUAGUAAGGC